rnacentral:lncRNA from 1 species
UGCAGUGUUGUAUUCUCAUCAAGAAUAGUAAGAAGUAUAUAACUAGUGCAUGACCCCACCAUACAUUAAAAAAAUCAAUGCUAGUAUCAAGAAAUAGAACUAACUUUUACCACUGGAACUAUGUUAAUAGAUGAAACUUGCAAUAGUAAAUAUUCAAAAAAUCUUAACAAUAUGAACAAGCAGUAAUAGUUUAAAUGUGGUACUGUAACAGUGUUUAAUGUUUAAGUGUAAUAUUAAGGGUUAUUUUGGCUUGUGGGAUUUAUUGGUUGUAGGGCUUUGAAAGAAAUUGGAACAUACUGUGAUAGCCUCAGACUGAAAUUCCAGAAGCUCAGGGGAGAGAGCUGCUUUUUAAAAAUUAUGAAGACUAUUUAUUACUUUCAUUCAUGGGAUGGAGCUGGGGAGAGGUUUAAUGACUGUCUUUAUUCCUUUUUGGUCCAAAUGCAAAUUGAGUAUGUUAGGAAUUCACUAACAAAUACAUGUUUAGUUUGGUUUGAUAAGAACAAUCAGUUUAGAUAUAUUGGUUUUUAAUUUCAUGGGAAAACAGUUCAUUAGAGAUGUUUGAGUUCUCUCUGUUUAUUUUGUGAUGCUUCUUCUCUUUGGCCUAAGAUGAAACUAAUAGCCACGACGUGUCUACUUAUCUGCUAUGUCUGGGGCUGUGUCUGCUGCUGUCAGCGGCUCCCCCCUUAUCUGGCUGCUGGCCCUGCUCCGUCGGUUGUAUGGGAAUGGCAGUUCCAUUAAUAACCCGAGGGCUGGACAGGCAGAUAGUGGAAAACGGGUGAAGAGAGAGAGAUUGUAUUUAACCUGGUGUUCUGAGUUGUCAUUUUCUAGACCCUAGCACAGCUGGGUAAAGGCGGGCUUGAGGGCGUGAUAGAAUCUCACUGAUGAGCUGGAGAAACAACCUGAUACCAAGAGAAGAAAGAGUAAAAGAAACUGGGAAGAAGGUAAAGAUUUGGGGUUGGAAAAGUUAGAGAAAGCAGUGGUAGGAAGAAAUGGCACAGCCAAAGUAUUCUGAUAGAAGUGCUGACAGCUGUGCAAAAUCAAUUUCAUUUUGAUUUAAAAUUUUUAAUUAAUUUAUUCUGUAUUAUUUUUCAUUUUUAAUUAGUUAAUUAAUUUUUUG